rnacentral:rRNA from 1 species
GGAAACGACUGCUAAUACCGCAUAUGCCGAGAGGUGAAACAUUUAUGGCCUGAAGAGGAGCUCGCGUCUGAUUAGCUAGUUGGUGGGGUAAAGGCUUACCAAGGCGACGAUCAGUAGCUGGUCUGAGAGGAUGAUCAGCCACACUGGGACUGAGACACGGCCCAGACUCCUACGGGAGGCAGCAGUGGGGAAUUUUCCGCAAUGGGGGCAACCCUGACGGAGCAACGCCGCGUGCGGGAAGAAUGCCUGUGGGUUGUAAACCGCUUUUCUCAAGGAAGAAGACAGUGACGGUACUUGAGAAAUCAGCAUCGGCUAACUCCGUGCCAGCAGCCGCGGUAAUACGGAGGAUGCAAGCGUUAUCCGGAAUUAUUGGGCGUAAAGCGUCCGUAGGUGGCCCAUCAAGUCUGCUGUCAAAGCGCGAAGCUUAACUUCGUACCGGCGGUGGAAACUGAUGAGCUAGAGUGCGGUAGGGGUAGAGGGAAUUCCCAGUGUAGCGGUGAAAUGCGUAGAUAUUGGGAAGAACACCGGUGGCGAAAGCGCUCUGCUGGACCUGCACUGACACUGAUGGACGAAAGCUAGGGGAGCGAAAGGGAUUAGAUACCC